rnacentral:misc_RNA from 1 species
GAUGAAGAACGUAGCGAAAUGCGAUAACUAGUGUGAAUUGCAGAAUUCCGUGAAUCAUCGAGUCUUUGAACGCACAUUGCGCCCCCUGGUAUUCCGGGGGGCAUGCCUGUCCGAGCGUCAUUGCUGCCCUCAAGCACGGCUUGUGUGUUGGGCCUCCGUCCUCCUCCCGGGGGACGGGCCCGAAAGGCAGCGGCGGCACCGCGUCCGGUCCUCGAGCGUAUGGGGCUUCGUCACCCGCUCUUGUAGGCCCGGCCGGCGCUUGCCGACACAUCAAUCUUUUUUCCAGGUUGACCUCGGAUCAGGUAGGGAUACCCGCUGAACUUAAGCAUAUCAAUAAGCGGAGGA